rnacentral:rRNA from 1 species
GACGAACGCUGGCGGCGUGCUUAACACAUGCAAGUCGAACGGAAAGGCCCUGCUUUUGUGGGGUGCUCGAGUGGCGAACGGGUGAGUAACACGUGAGUAACCUGCCCUUGACUUUGGGAUAACUUCAGUAAACUGGGGCUCAUACCGGAUAUGAGCUCCUUCUGCAUGGUGUGGGUUGGAAAGUUUCGGCGGUUGGGGAUGGACUGGCGGCUUAUCAGCUUGUUGGUGGGGUAGUGGCUUACCAAGGCUUUGACGGGUAGCCGGCCUGAGAGGGUGACCGACCACAUUGGGACUGAGAUACGGCCCAGACUCCUACGGGAGGCAGCAGUGGGGAAUAUUGCAAAAUGGGCGGAAGCCUGAUGCAGCAACGCCGCGUGCGGGAUGACGGCCUUCGGGUUGUAAACCGCGUUCGCCUGUGACGAAGAGUGAGUGACGGUAAUGGGUAAAGAAGCACCGGCUAACUACGUG